AGACUGAAAGAGUUUGAAUAUUGUAGAUUUCAUUAAAAUCUUUAUUUAGCCAAGACCGCAAUGUAGAAAGAAAUGAUAGAUUACUUAUUUCAAUCGAUUACAUCGUAAUGUUUCGAUCUGGAAAUCGUUAGAAAAUGUCACACGACAGAAGAAUUACGGAAUGCAGCAGCGUUAAAUAAAAUAACUAAUUGGCUUUUCUUUAAGGAUGUUAAAGCGAUGUUGACGAAGAGUCUAAGACGACGAAGUCAGCGUUUCUCCGAUAAUUCUGCAGAUGCUGCUUGGUGCACGAUGGUAUUGCUCCCUUAGCGCAACUCUGCAGUUUACGUGGUGCAAUCAAAGGACAAAUGUACGACAGAGCUGUGAGACUGUCCACGGAAUUGAAAUCCAAGUUGCCGGCUCAGCCUGAAGGAGGUGACUAAUCUACGAGUGAUUGAAGACCAGGUGGCUGGCCUCCUGACUGAAGAGGUCUACCGUUUUCAGAGGAACAGCACGAUGGAAGAGCGUCAGAACAUACAUCUUUUGUUCACAGCAAAAACAGGCGGAAGCAAGUCAUCCUGUUUUAUAGCAUUUUCUGAUUACUUCACGACAUAUAAUAAAUUAGAUCCGCUUUUCAUAUAGGCGAGAAACUGACUGCAAAAAUUAGUAUUUAAGAACAUUGGUUUUGGCUGUAUUUAUCUUUCUGUUAUUCUUGUAAUAGUUUUACUCUUACGUAAUAAAAAUGUGGAUCCAUGUCGACAA